rnacentral:lncRNA from 13 species
GCAGCAUAGACAGAAGCCUUUUCUCAUCCAUCACAUCACCAUCAACCCUUGCUCACUCACUUCCUUCUUCUCUAAAUAGCUUUCCAAAUGAGAAAGUGGAAACAUUCCAUUGUUUAUCACUGACUGAAAUGUUCCUUUCAAUAACAGUGAUAAGGUAUUCCAAAGCCAAAAGGUCUUCCAAAGUCUAGCACCGUCCUGUGUCCUGUGCUCUCCCUGGACACAAGACUGCACUACAGGACUUGGCCUCGUGGAAAGGUCAACUCUUGAUUAUUUAUAGGGCUGACUGUAACCUCUUGAAGCUGAGGAACUCUGACUUCUUCGGAUCUAACACAGUAUUUGGCCUCUUUGUAGAGAUGGGGGGCUCACUGUGUUGCCUAGGCUGGUCUCAAACUCCUGGCCUCAAGCUAUCAUUGCACCUCAGCCUCCCAAAGCAAGGGAUCACAGUCUUGCUCUGUCACCCAGGCUGGAGUGUAAUGAUGCAAUCUCAGCUCACUACAACUUCUGACUCUGGGUUCAAGUGAUUCUCCUGCCUCAGCCUCCUCUGUAGCUUGGAUUACGGGUAUGCACACUAUACUCAGCUAAUUUUUGUAUUUUUAGUAGAGAUGGGGUAUCACCAUGUUGGUCAAGCUGGUCUCAAACUCCUGACGUCGUGAUUUGCUCGCCUCAGCCUCCCAAAGUGCUGGAAUUACAGGCAUAAGCCACUGUGCAUGUCCAGUUGUUUCUUUUUAAGGGAACUUAAGACUGUUUUAACUGAGUU